UGUGGUGAUGAUGGCCUGAAGGAUACACCUGUUCCCAUGCCGAACACAGAAGUUAAGCUUCAGCACGC
rnacentral:rRNA from 1 species